rnacentral:rRNA from 1 species
GAUGAACGCUGACAGAAUGCUUAACACAUGCAAGUCUUUGGCGAAGAUGUGCUGCACAGCCUGCCAAGGCGGACGGGCGAGUAAAGCGUAAGGAACUUGCCCAGCAGUCAGGGAUAACAGACGGAAACGACUGAUAAGACCUGGUAAAAGUCAGGCGGACUCAUGUCCAGCAUGAUGAAAAGAGAUGCUGCAGGAGAGCCAUGCGUCCUAUUAGCUUGUUGGUGGGGUAACGGCCCACCACGGCGAUGAUAGGUAGCCGGCCUGAGAGGGUGGACGGCCACAAGGGGACUGAGAUACGGCCCUUACUCCUACGGGAGGCAGCAGUGGGGAAUAUUGGACAAUGGGGGCAACCCUGAUCCAGCAAUUCUGUGUGCACGAUGAAGGUUUUCGGAUUGUAAAGUGCUUUCAGCAGGGAAGAAAAAAAUGACGGUACCUGCAGAAGAAGCGACGGCUAAAUACGUGCCAGCAGCCGCGGUAAUACGUAUGUCGCAAGCGUUAUCCGGAAUUAUUGGGCAUAAAGGGCAUCUAGGCGGCCAGAUAAGUCUGGGGUGAAAACUUGCGGCUCAACCGCAAGCCUGCCCUGGAAACUAUGCGGCUAGAGUACCGGAGAGGUGGACGGAACUGCACGAGUAGAGGUGAAAUUCGUAGAUAUGUGCAGGAAUGCCGAUGAUGAAGAUAGUUCACUGGACGGUAACUGACGCUGAAGUGCGAAAGCUAGGGGAGCAAACAGG